GCUUUUAAAAAUAAUUUUUUCUGAACACGUCUGAUCUUGGAAGCUAAGCAGAGUUGGGCCUGGUUAGUAUUUGGAUGGGAAACCACCUAGGAAGACCAGGUGCUGUAGGCU
rnacentral:rRNA from 1 species